rnacentral:lncRNA from 1 species
ACAGUGCAAAGAAAAUGAAUAAUCGUGUUACAAUAUCCCUGAAUGAUAAAUAACUAAGGAAAUCACCCUAACAAAUAUACAAAAAUACAAAAUCAUAUAUAGUUUGAUGAGUUUAACUUAUAUACAUCAACAGUGCAAAGAAUCUAACAAAUAGUGUACAAAUUCUUGACAUUGUUGAUGCAUAUUAGUUAAACUCUUGAAUACAUUUGAAUCAAAUUAAUUACCUUUACUGAAUAUGAGCAUAAACCAGAAAGUAAAGCAGGUUAAAUAUAUCAACAUAAACUCCUGAAUAUAAGCAGAAGCAACAAAGCAGGUACAAUAUAUUAACCGGACUAGCUACCCAGAGGGGUUAAUCUUUUUCUUGUCAUUCUUGAAAGAGGACACCACCGUUUUCACCACCUUUUCAGCAGCCAUGGCCUUCACUGACUUUUUGUCCUUCUUUGGGAACACGCUUCCUUUCUUAGCUGUACUGCUUUCACCGAUAUAUCCUUUCCCUUUUCCAUUAUUAUUGUCCAUCUCUUCAGAUCUCUUAUAGAGUUUAAGUAUAUAUAAAAAAGUGUAUGAAAUAUAUUGCGUUGUUGCUUAACUUGUGGUGUUUUCAGAAGUAGUUCAUAUGAGGUAUUUAUAGGAGUUGAGGCAUUGUUUUAUGGCUUACUCUGAUGUUUUUUCAUGUAAAUUCAGGUGAAUUUCUGAGUUAGCUCGAGCAAGAUUGAACGAACAUUGUUGUUCAUUAUUUCGUGCAUGGAAUGUGUGUGUCUAUGUGUGUGUGGGUAUUUGGAUUUUGCAAUAUAGUAUAUAUUCAUUUUUAUCUGAAGUCUGUGUUAUUAAAAAGAUUGUGUAAUUCGUUUGUUUGAGCCACAAAACUACUAAACUUUCAAGCUAAUUAAGUUUGCGAAAACUACUUAUUAUUUAAUUUUUUGUUGCAUGGUGUGCGUGGGUAUGUGUGUUUGUGUGGUGUUUGUAGCUAUUUCCCGGAAAUGAACUAGUACUACUUAAGAGAGUAGUCUAAUUUAAAAAAUAUUUGACUAAAUACGUAGAUUAUGGAGAUUAAGGACCGCUUUAUUUCUAGUGUGGAAUUUCUCGGAGAAUAGUCUAAUUUAAAAAAUAUUUGACUAAAUACGUAGAUUAUGGAUAGGUGGAGUUUGCAUUGCUUUUAAGCUUAUUAACUUUUUGAAUUUUUAAGGAGUGAUCUUUGUCAAGGACCGCUUUAUUUCUAGUGUUGAAUUUCUCGACGCGAAUUCGGAUCUAAUGCGGAUACUAAAUGCUGUGUGGAAAAUAAAAAAAUAUAUCUUUUUUUUAAUUGUAUAGAAAUUAAUCUUUUUACCUUUCAAUAUAAUGUUACUACCUUCAUUUCUAUCUUAAUUUUUCGGCGCGAAUUUGGAUUUAGUCGGGCUCCAACAAAGGUUUAGUUCAUAUGUGUGUUGCACUACAAUUGGCAUGCAUAAUCUACAUGCAGUUAUAGAGAUGUACCAUUCAUCUUAUCAGGCACACUUGGCAUAUUUUAUCCAUGUUAAACUUAAACUAUUAAAAUAAGAAAGCAUGUCUACAUUUUUGUACUGUUAAAUUCUGCAUUUGGAUUGUACUUGUCUGAGCUCGUCACUGCUUUCAGUCCAGGGUUAGUCUUGUUACUUAUUAAUUAAAUUGGGUCGGUUGUACUUAUACUACACUAUACUUUAUGUGCAGAUCCAAGUACUUCUGAGUAUAGCAGAGCUUUAUCUGUUGGAGACUAUCGAGCUAGCCGCCUUAGCGUCUGUAGGCCCUCACUCUCCAUCUUUUCAGUUUAUUUGUACUAUUAAAUCUUCCUAGAUAGUGUUUAGUAGUUAGACUAUAUUGUCAUUUAGAUGCUCAUGUACUCAGUGACACCCCAAUUCUGGGGGAUUUUGUAUUGAUUCGUGAUACUUUUUCUUAUCAGUAAAUUAUGAGGUUUUUACUAUUUAAGCUUAUUUUUGUAUGUUUUAAAAUAAAGAUGCGUGGUUAUUUGUGAAUUAUCAUCUUUUCUAGUAUUGCGAUAGUUCCCAUCCCGUCAUGUGAAAUUUCGGGUCGUGAUUCGAUGUUUGAUUGUCAUCACGAUGUGCUGCCUAGUCUUAGAAAUGAAUGUUGCCUAUCAUUCACGAAGAAUAAACUUCGCCGACCACAAAAUUACCCUAUGCGUUCGCGGCAUAGCGCUCACAAAUUACUUGAAGUUGCACUGUGAGAUAAGGAGACUAAAACGUGUGUAGUUGUUCUACGAAAAAAUUAUUUUUAAAAUAAAUACAAGGUUUAAGCGGUGAUAUAAAGAAUAUUGUGAUUAUGACUUAUGAAAUAUAUAUAUAUAUAUAUAUAUAUAUAUAUAUAUAUAUAUAUGAAGAAUAAACUUCGCCGACCACAAAAUUACCCUAUGCGUUCGCGGCAUAGCGCUCCCAAAUUACUUGAAGUUGCACUAUGAGAUAAGGGGACUAAAACGUGUGUAGUUGUUCUACGAAAAAAUUAUUUUUAAACUAAAUACAAGGUUUAAGCGGUGAUAUAAAGAAUAUUGUGAUUAUGACUUAUGAAAUAUAUAUAUGAAAAUGAGUCGUGAUGCCUCAAUUGUGAUUCUUCUUGUACAUUUUAUAUUAAAAUAGCUUGGUGAUGGAACAGUUAUUGUUAUUCCUUCAUUUGUUUUACUCGUGUUUGACUGUAUUUUAUUACAUGUUGCUCUUAUCGUAUGCUCAUUCUUGCUUUCCAUUAUUACCUUAUAAAUAUCAGUUAUAAGUUUUACAUCAUUGUGAUGCGGUGAGUUCGGAGGUUGCUUAUGAGAUUUCAUUGCCUCCUAGACUAGCAAGAGCUCAUCCGUUAUUCCACAUUUCUAUGCUCCGAAAGAAUCACGGCUAUUCGUCUCAUGUGUUGGAUUUCAGCUCAGUUUAGUUGGACAUGGAUUUAUCUUAUGUUGAGGAGCCGGUGGCUAUUUUUGACAUGUCGGAUUGAAAGUUGAAGCCAAAGAACAUUGUUUUGGUGAAGGUUCAGUGGAGGGGUUAGCCGGUUGAGGAGGUGACUUGGGAGACUAAGCAUGAUAUGCGUAGUUGUUAUCCUCAUCUUUUCACCACGUCAGGUAUGUCUAAGAAGGGGAGGAUGUAACGACCCGGCCAGUCCUUUUGAGAGUAAUAUCCCCGAUACCCUUAUUACUGCUUUCCGUGUAUCAUAUUACGCUUACAUAAUAUGAUGGGAUGUUUUUUUUCGGUUUAGGAGUGAAUUGGGACACUUAGUCCCUAGAAUGAAGCCUAAGUUCUAAGAAUUUGACCGUAUCUAGAAGUAUGUGAAGACGACUUCGGAAUGGAGUUUUGUUAGUUCCUAUAGCACCGUUGGGAUAUUUUGGACAGGAGCAUAUCCAGAUUGUGAUUUAGAGGUCCGUAGCCGAAUUGGGAUUGAAAUAGUAAAAGUUGAAUUUUUUAUAAGUUUGACUAGGAGUGUACUUUCUGAUACUAGUGUUGUGUUCUGAUUACAAAAAGUGUAGUAGCUCCUUAAUGUCAAAUACGACAUGUCUACAUAAUUUGAUAUCAUUCGGAUGUGAUUUGAUAGUUUUCGACAUCGGUUGUAGGUGUUUGAAGUUUCAAAGUUUAUUAUGCUUGAUCUGGAUUUCUAAUGUUGUUUGAUGUAUUUGAAGGCUCAACUAGGUCCGUAUCAUAUUUUAGGAUAAGUUAGUAUAAUUGGUUGAGGUCCCGGGGGGCUCGGUUAGAUUAUAGGUUAUUAACCGACUAGAGUUGGACUUGUAGGAAUUGCAGAAAAUCUGGUGCUUCAGUUGUUCGUUUCCUUCAUCGCAUCCGCGACUGAUGUCUCGCAUUUGUGUAAGGUAUCUAGGAGGCCAAUUGAGUUUUGUUCUUCAUGUUUACGAUGUAGUUCCCACAUUCAUGAAGCUGUGGAGCAUUUAUUAUACGCGUACACGGUACUGUAAGGUAUCUAGGAGGCCAGUUGAGUUUUGUUCUUCGUGUUUACGAUGUAGUUCCCACAUUCAUGAAGCUGUGGAGCAUUUAUUAUACGCGUACACGGUAGGCGUUACACAUUCGCAUAGAGGAAUGUCAGAUGGGCUCUAGGAAUUUAGCCUACGUGUUCGUGAUAAGGGUCCUGCAUUCACGAAGGGUAUGACAAGUGAAGCUCCACAUUCAUGAAAGGUCCCAGGCAUUCGAGAAGGAGAAUGUUUGGUAGUAGAGUUUCUGGUGCUUCGCGAAUGCAAGGAAUCUUCCGCGUUCACGAUGAAGAAAAGACCUGGGAAGAUUUAAUCAUUUCAAAUUGAGGGUUUUGCCAUUUUCAUCAUAACUUGAGAUAGAGAGCUCGGAUUUAAGAUAUAUUUUGAGGAAUUUUCAGAGGCAAUGAUUAGCUAAUGAUUCUUGAAUCGUUUAUGGUUAUAUGGCACUAAUCAAUCAUUCAUUUCAUCUUUUACUUUAAGAUUUGGGUUAAUAAAUUUGGAAAAAAAAGUUGAAAAGUUCUUCAACCAAAUUUCUGGGUUUUGGUUAGCAUUUUUGCAUAGAAUUUGAAUAAUUUUGAAACGAGUUCAUUCGUGAAUGGAUGUUUGUAUUUUGUAACAUUUACCCUAUUUCGAGAAGUAGACCUGGGUUGACUUUUUGGGGAGAAUUUCUAAUUUCUUGUUAAAGUCAUGAUUUCAAAAAUUGGAUUAGAUUCUUAUAGUUAUACUUAUGGUAUGUAAUUGCUUUUGGCUAGAUUUGGGUCAUUCAGAGUUAAAAAUUCAAGGAAAGGACAUUCUUAUUGAUUGAUCAAGCUUGGUUCGAGGUAGUCGCUUGCCUUACCUUGUGUGGGGAAAAUACUCAUAUGAUUUGGUACUGUUGUGAUAAUUUCGUGAUAUGUGAGUGUCGUGUACGCAAGGUAACGAGUGCGGACACGGACUAAUUUUUGUAAAAUCUUGUUUUUACUGAGCAAUAAUUUGCUACAUCUUCAUUGAAUUAUACCAGCAUGUGUAGUUAUCAUGUUUAGCCUAAUAUCGGAUGUCUACGUGUCUUUUUGCUUAUUUGAAACAUGUACAUCAUUCUUAGUUGAUUUCCUAUUUUUUUUUUUACUUUNNNNNNNNNNNNNNNNNNNNNNNNNNNNNNNNNNNNNNNNNNNNNNNNNNNNNNNNNNNNNNNNNNNNNNNNNNNNNNNNNNNNNNNNNNNNNNNNNNNNNNNNNNNNNNNNNNNNNNNNNNNNNNNNNNNNNNNNNNNNNNNNNNNNNNNNNNNNNNNNNNNNNNNNNNNNNNNNNNNNNNNNNNNNNNNNNNNNNNNNNNNNNNNNNNNNNNNNNNNNNNNNNNNNNNNNNNNNNNNNNNNNNNNNNNNNNNNNNNNNNNNNNNNNNNNNNNNNNNNNNNNNNNNNNNNNNNNNNNNNNNNNNNNNNNNNNNNNNNNNNNNNNNNNNNNNNNNNNNNNNNNNNNNNNNNNUGACAAAUCUCAAAAUUUAAUCAAGGACCUUAUCAAAAUAAUCAAACAAUUGAUAAUAAUGAUAAAAGAAUAUCAAAUGCCAUAUAUUUUAUAUCAAACGACAUUCACAAAAAUAUUUUCAAGUUAUCAAAUAUGAUAUUAGAUCUAGGGCAUAUCAACUAUAUCCCUAACAAACACAUGUACCUCCUACCAGCCCCGCAACUAGUCGAGAGUAUUUGUUGCAGCUUUCGGAGGUUUCAAUGUACAUCUGCCAACGUCCGCAGACUUUGAGUCCCUCUCUAUCCUUUAUGUUUUCCUUCUUAUUGCUCAUAGACACUAAUGCAUAGAGACAGUUAAAGUUUUUCCCUACAGCUUGUGACGUGUGACAAUCGGAGCUUUGCGGAGUUGCUUGUACUCAAAAUUAUUUAUUUUAUUUGUACAUGUCGAGUGGUAGUUUUCCUGAUUUAUAGAUAUAUAUGCUUGUUAUUGACAAUGUUUGGUAGUUAUUUCUGUUGUUGUUCAGUUUUUCCGUAACUACUAGGCUUACCUAGUGUUAGAGAAUAGGUAUCGUCAUGACAUCUUAUAGGGGAGAUUUAGGUCGUGACAAUGGUCCUGCCUAUUUACAUUCGACAUUCAUACAUGUUUUCCAUUAGUACCAUCUGCCUUAUAUUCCAUUAAACGGUUAAGAUUGAAGAAUAUAAUUAUUUGUAUGCACAAUAACACGAUGAAGAGGAGGGGGAAAUGAGACAACGAUGUUCCACUAUCAAAGAGGAACAUAAAACAAAUGAAAACGAUGACUCGUAUUCAUCUAAAUAUAGCAUGAAAAAUCAAGCAAAUUCUUUACACUCCCUACGUAUAUAUAACCUGAGGAUGGAAUGUUGUACUCAACUUAACCCGUGUGCCCAACUCUCGUUUCAUUGCUCUUCAAAAUUGCGAUCUGUACUGCAUGCCUAGGUAAAAAGGAUGGAAAUGGGCGUGUCAUGCGCGGAUAAUCCCUCGGAUGUAAAUAUGAUCCAACCGCUCUACAAAAUAGGAUGUCACAAUCAAAAUGAAGUGUACGGACUUAGCCAACCGGCACACAUGUACCCAAACAACAUCAUAUUUCUUCAAGGUCCGUGGCAAUCCUACCACAAAAUCCAUAGUGAUGUGUUCCCAUUUUCACUCUGGUAUCUCCGAUCUCUGAAUUAACCCUCCCGUAAUUAAUUCUGUACCUCACCUAAUUGAAGGCCAAGUUGCUAUCGAAGUAUUGAAAUUGAAUGAAAAAGACUAGUAUUAUUUUGCAACGAAUUGGAUAUCAAUGUACUAUUUCCUUAACUGCUAUCGGAGAACCAAAGUACUAAAUUUGACUCAAAAAAGUUGUAAUAAAUUAAUCAUUAACUUCCAUUCGUUUUGACCAGAUAUAUAUAGCGUCUGAUAUGUAUACCUAUUGGGAGUACUGUUUAUAAGAGCUACUAUGUGCUAUAUAUAGCAUAUUUUUUUGUACUCAAUUGAAUGGUUAUUAAUGGUGUUGAAUUUUUCAUUAAGAAUAAAUUUAUAAACUUAUUUGUGCGUGAAUUCAUCGGAACUAAUGUACGAUCAAGAGAAAAAAGAAUAGACAACAGUGCAAAGAAAAUGAAUAAUCGUGUUACAAUAUCCCUGAAUGAUAAAUAACUAAGGAAAUCACCCUAACAAAUAUACAAAAAUACAAAAUCAUAUAUAGUUUGAUGAGUUUAACUUAUAUACAUCAACAGUGCAAAGAAUCUAACAAAUAGUGUACAAAUUCUUGACAUUGUUGAUGCAUAUUAGUUAAACUCUUGAAUACAUUUGAAUCAAAUUAAUUACCUUUACUGAAUAUGAGCAUAAACCAGAAAGUAAAGCAGGUUAAAUAUAUCAACAUAAACUCCUGAAUAUAAGCAGAAGCAACAAAGCCUGAAUGUGAGCAUAAACCAGAAACUAAAGCAGGUUAAAUGUAUCAACCGGACUACUCAUAAUUGGAAUCAGAGGGGUUAAUCUUUUUCUUGUCGUUCUUGAAAGAGGACACCAUAGCUUUCACCACCUUUUCAGCAGCCAUAGCUUUCACUUCCUUUAUUUGAUGUGCCUUCACCAUAUCCUUUUCCAUUUUCACUGUUCUCUAUCUCUCUUUCUAGCUCUUAGAAUUUAUGUCUGUAUAUAAGGAAGUGUAAUCUAAUAAUUUCUUUAGGUUUGUUG